AGGGAGAUUUUAAAUCAAGCAAAUGCAGUAUAUGUUUAACAUAACUUAGGUUGAAUCGCCAUGGCAGAUGAAACAGAUGAUAAAUCUAAUGAUUUUUUAAAAGGAAUGGUUGUAAGCUACCAUUACGAACCCCGGAAAUGUUUUUCGGAAUUUUAAAAUUUAAACAACAGCAACAGCUUAACUAAGUUGAGGAAAAAAUGAAAAAAAAAGAAUUUCGCAAUGACGGAUAAGUACUUACGAUGUUAAGUUCAUUUUAAUUUCACGAUAAACAGGACUAACGAGGAAUCUAGAGUUGAACUAUCACGCAGUUUUAAGAAGAUAUUAUUUAAGAACACAGACGACAAAGAAAAAUCAAGUUAAUUUGAGACUGAAUUGACGAAAUUUCCAGCAAGAAUUUCAAGGACGACAGACAUUCUAAGAAAGAAACACUCAAGCAGAGAUAGCCUAAAGAAGAAAGGAAAAGAACAGAAAAAAUUGAAGUUAUCCCUUUUUAAAUCUUUUUCGUAGUCAAUAUAAUGCGAGAAUAAAACCAUUAAAUUAACUAUCAAUUAAGAAGGAAU
rnacentral:lncRNA from 1 species